rnacentral:rRNA from 1 species
UACGUAGGGUGCGAGCGUGAAUCGGAAUUACUGGGCGUAAAGCGUGCGCAGGCGGGCUUUUAAGCCAGACGUGAAAUCCCCGGGCUUAACCUGGGAAUGGCGUUUGGGACUGGAAGUCUGGAGUACGGCAGAGGAGACUGGAAUUCCUGGUGUAGCAGUGAAAUGCGUAGAUAUCAGGAAGAACACCCGUGGCGAAAGCGGCUCUCUGGAACGGUACUGACGCUGAGACGCGAAAGCGUGGGGAGCAAACAGG